rnacentral:rRNA from 1 species
AUGGUUUACCUGCGCCUCCAGCCAUAUGCUCAGUCCUCUGUGGUCAACCGUCCUUGUCCCAAGCUUGCUCUUAAAUAUUUUGGCCCUUUCAAGGUCUUGGAAAAAGUGGGAAAUGCAGCCUACAAACUAGAGUUACCUCGGGGCAGUAUGGUCCACCCUGUGUUUCAUGUGUCUCAACUCAAGGGCCAUGUGCCGGAUCAUACCCCGGUGUUUACUACCCUUCCGGUUCCGCUCGAUCUGUCAGUACCUGGUGUGAAACCUGAGGAGAUUCUGGAUCGUCGACUGGUCAAAAAGGGCAAUGCAUCUUAUCUACAUAUACUUGUAAAGUGGUCGUCCAUUCCUGCGGCGUCAGCAACCUGGGAAGAUUCCCAAGUACUCAAGCAACGCUACCCAGAUGCACCAGCCUGGGGACAUGCUGGUUCUUCAGGGGGACGUAUUGUAAGUACCUUACAGAUGUCAAAGACGCGAGCAAGACGAGGGAAGCGGGAAGCAGACGAGGAGAAGGCGUAA